rnacentral:misc_RNA from 1 species
GAUGAAGAACGUAGCGAAAUGCGAUAAGUAAUGUGAAUUGCAGAAUUCAGUGAAUCAUCGAAUCUUUGAACGCACAUUGCGCCCCCUGGUAUUCCGGGGGGCAUGCCUGUCCGAGCGUCAUUACAACCCUCAAGCUCAGCUUGGUGUUGGGCCCCGCCGCCCCGGCGGGCCCUAAAGUCAGUGGCGGUGCCGUCCGGCUCCGAGCGUAGUAAUUCUUCUCGCUCUGGAGGUCCGGUCGUGUGCUCGCCAGCAACCCCCAAUUUUUUUCAGGUUGACCUCGGAUCAGGUAGGGAUACCCGCUGUACUUAAGCAUAUCAAUAAGCGGAGGA